UGCGUUUUGGGGACCACUAAUCUUGCAGGUGAUCCUUGAGAAAAAGGAUUCCAGGGUUAACUAAAUUGGAGAAAUGCUGUCUAUCAUAAUUCCUGUUAGAAAAUUCACAGUAACAUUAAUAUGCUACAUGUUCUGAGAAAUCCUGCAGUAAGAUAGCAACUAUUUGUCUUGGUUAAACUCAGUAUUUUUCAUAAGACUUUCCCACCAACCUAAUAUCUGUUGAUAUUUCACCUUAUUUUGGGAAUCACUGACCGAAUUAUUUUAGGUAAUCAUCAUAUGUCUUUGAUUCUAAGAUCUGCAUUUUUAUUUCCACACUUGAACACUUCUCAAAUUGAAAUGUGUCAUGAAGUACAAUUUAUUCUACUAUUAAGCUAUUAAUUCUCUCAUAAUUUUGAAGAAAUACUGUUUAUUUCAAUAACUACUAAGGUAAAAGUUGAAAAUGCUAACCAGGACACUAGGUAAAAGAUUACGGCCAUGCCUCACUAUCCUUGGGGGACUGGGUCCAGGGCCCCGCAAAUACCAAAAUCUGUGAAUGCUCAAGUCACUUAUAUAAAUUGACAGUAUUGGCCAGCCAUGGUGGCUCACACCCAUAAUUUCAGCACUUUGGGAGGCUGAGGUGGGCGGACCACUUGAGGUCAGGAGUUCGAGAGCAGCCUGGCCAACAUGGUGAAACCCUGUCUCUACUACAUAUACAACAAUUAGCUGGGUGUGGUGGUGCAUGCCUGUAAUCUCAGCUACUCGGGAGGCUGAGGCAGGAGAACUGCUUGAACCUGGGAGGCGGAGGUUGCAGUGAGCCGAGAUUGUGCCACUGCACUCCAGCCUGGGCAACAGAAUGAGACUCUGUCUCAAAAAGUAAAUAAAUAGACCAGGUGCAGUGGCUCACACCUGUAAUCCCAGCACUUUGGGAGGCAGAGGUGGGCGGAUCACUUGAGGUCAGGAGUUUGAGACCAGCCUGACCAACAUGGCGAAACCCCAUCUCUACUUAAAAUACAAAAAUUAGCCAGGGAUGGUGGCGGGCGCCUGUAAUCCCAGCUAUUCAGGAGGCUGAGGCAGGAGAAUCACUUGAACCUG
rnacentral:lncRNA from 10 species